GGGUUGUGAGGUUAAGCGACUAAGCGUACACGGUGGAUGCCCUGGCAGUCAGAGGCGAUGAAGGACGUGCUAAUCUGCGAUAAGCGCCGGUAAGGUGAUAUGAACCGUUAUAACCGGCGAUUUCCGAAUGGGGAAACCCAGUGUGACUCGUCACACUAUCAUUAACUGAAUCCAUAGGUUAAUGAGGCGAACCGGGGGAACUGAAACAUCUAAGUACCCCGAGGAAAAGAAAUCAACCGAGAUUCCCCCAGUAGCGGCGAGCGAACGGGGAGGAGCCCAGAGCCUGAAUCAGCAUGUGUGUUAGUGGAAGCGUCUGGAAAGGCGCGCGAUACAGGGUGACAGCCCCGUACACAAAAGCGCAUGUGUUGUGAGCUCGAUGAGUAGGGCGGGACACGUGGUAUCCUGUCUGAAUAUGGGGGGACCAUCCUCCAAGGCUAAAUACUCCUGACUGACCGAUAGUGAACCAGUACCGUGAGGGAAAGGCGAAAAGAACCCCGGCGAGGGGAGUGAAAAAGAACCUGAAACCGUGUACGUACAAGCAGUGGGAGCCCCACCACUAAGCCAGUGGUGAACUCCACAUACGCAUCCUUUGCUGAAGGUGCGGUUAACGGAGCGCAAGCGACGUUCAACCUCAAAAGAAGCAGAGGGGGCUUAGUGGUGGGGUGACUGCGUACCUUUUGUAUAAUGGGUCAGCGACUUAUAUUCUGUAGCAAGGUUAACCGCAUAGGGGAGCCGGAGGGAAACCGAGUCUUAAUUGGGCGUUAAGUUGCAGGGUAUAGACC
rnacentral:rRNA from 1 species